UGGGGAAUAUUGGACAAUGGGCGCAAGCCUGAUCCAGCCAUGCCGCGUGAGUGACGAAGGCCUUAGGGUUGUAAAGCUCUUUUGGCGGGGAAGAUAAUGACGGUACCCGCAGAAUAAGCUCCGGCUAACUUCGUGCCAGCAGCCGCGGUAAUACGAAGGGAGCUAGCGUUGUUCGGAAUCACUGGGCGUAAAGCGCACGUAGGUGGGCAGUUAAGUCAGGGGUGAAAGCCCGAGGCUCAACCUCGGAAUUGCCUCUGAUACUGGCUGUCUAGAGUUCGAGAGAGGUGAGUGGAAUUCCUAGUGUAGAGGUGAAAUUCGUAGAUAUUAGGAAGAACACCGGUGGCGAAGGCGGCUCACUGGCUCGAUACUGACACUGAGGUGCGAAAGCGUGGGGAGCAAACAGGAUUAGAUACCCCCGUAUUCCCUGAGCGGGCUGGCAAGGCGCAU
rnacentral:rRNA from 1 species